CCUACGGGAGGCAGCAGUGGGGAAUAUUGGGCAAUGGGCGCACGCCUGACCCAGCAACGCCGCGUGAAGGAAGAAGGCUUUCGGGUUGUAAACUUCUUUUGUCAGGGACGAAGCAAGUGACGGUACCUGACGAAUAAGCCACGGCUAACUACGUGCCAGCAGCCGCGGUAAUACGUAGGUGGCAAGCGUUAUCCGGAUUUAUUGGGUGUAAAGGGCGUGUAGGCGGGAAUGCAAGUCAGAUGUGAAAACUAUGGGCUCAACCCAUAGCCUGCAUUUGAAACUGUAUUUCUUGAGUGCUGGAGAGGCAGACGGAAUUCCUAGGGUAGCGGUGAAAUGCGUAGAUAUUAGGAGGAACACCAGUGGCGAAGGCGGUCUGCUGGACAGCAACUGACGCUGAGGCGCGAAAGCGUGGGGAGCAAACAGGAUUAGAUACCCCGGUAGUC
rnacentral:rRNA from 1 species